rnacentral:rRNA from 1 species
AACGAACGCUGGCGGCAGGCCUAACACAUGCAAGUCGAGCGAGGACUUCGGUCCUAGCGGCGGACGGGUGAGUAACGCGUGGGAACGUGCCCUUUGCUUCGGAAUAGCCCUGGGAAACUGGGAGUAAUACCGGAUGAGCCCUUUGGGGGAAAGAUUUAUCGGCGAAGGAUCGGCCCGCGUUGGAUUAGGUAGUUGGUGGGGUAAUGGCCUACCAAGCCGACGAUCCAUAGCUGGUUUGGGAGGAUGAUCAGCCACACUGGGACUGAGACACGGCCGAGACUCCUACGGGAGGCAGCAGUGGGGAAUCUUAGACAAUGGGGGAAACCCUGAUCUAGCCAUGCCGCGUGAGCGAUGAAGGCCUUAGGGUUGUAAAGCUCUUUCAGCUGGGAAGAUAAUGACGGUACCAGCAGAAGAAGCCCCGGCUAACUCCGUG